UACGUAGGGUGCAAGCGUUGUCCGGAUUUAUUGGGCGUAAAGAGCUCGUAGGUGGUUCGGUAAGUCAGGUGUGAAACCUCCAGGCUCAACCUGGAGACGCCACUUGAUACUGCUGUGACUGGAGUCCGGUAGGGGGAGGGUGGAAUUCCUGGUGUAGCGGUGAAUGCGCAGAUAUCAGGAAGAACACCGGUGGCGAAGGCGGGUCUCUGGGCCGAUACUGACGCUGAGGAGCGAAAGCGUGGGGAGCGAACAGG
rnacentral:rRNA from 1 species